UGGCUCAGUUGAUAGAGCAUGGUGUUUGAAAUGGCAGGGUUGUGGGUUCGAUUCCCAC
rnacentral:tRNA from 1 species